rnacentral:rRNA from 1 species
AUACGAAGGGUGCAAGCGUUAAUCGGAAUUACUGGGCGUAAAGCGCGCGUAGGUGGUUCGUUAAGUUGGAUGUGAAAGCCCCGGGCUCAACCUGGGAACUGCAUCCAAAACUGGCGAGCUAGAGUAUAGCAGAGGGUGGUGGAAUUUCCUGUGUAGCGGUGAAAUGCGUAGAUAUAGGAAGGAACACCAGUGGCGAAGGCGACCACCUGGGCUAAUACUGAUACUGAGGUGCGAAGGCGUGGGGAGCAAACAGGAUUAGAUACCCGGGUAGUCCACGCCGUAAACGAUGUCGACUAGCCGUUGGGAUCCUUGAGAUCUUAGUGGCGCAGCUAACGCAUUAAGUCGACCGCCUGGGGAGUACGGCCGCAAGGUUAAAACUCAAAUGAAUUGGCGGGG